rnacentral:rRNA from 1 species
GAGUUUGAUCAUGGCUCAGGACGAACGCUGGCGGCGUGCGUAACACAUGCAAGUUGAACGACGGUGUCAUGAAGUGGUAACACGGAAUGGCAUACGGAGUAGCGGACGGGUGAGUACAACAUGAGAAGCUGUCCAAUAGUGGGGGAUAACGUUCGGAAACGGACCCUAAUACCCCAUAGGCCUUUUGGUUAAAGCAGCGAUGUGCUAUUGGAGGUGCUCGUGUCCUAUCAGCUGGUUGGUGAGGUAACGGCUCACCAAGGCGACGACGGGUAGCCGGCCUGAGAGGGUGUCCGGCCACACUGGAACUGAGAUACGGUCCAGACUCCUACGGGAGGCAGCAGUGGGGAAUAUUGGGCAAUGGGAGAAAUCCUGACCCAGCGACGCCGCGUGAACGAAGAAGGCCUUCGGGUCGUAAAGUUCUUUUAUGUGGGAAGAAGGAAGUGA